rnacentral:rRNA from 1 species
AUCAGCCUGAAGGCGCCCGAUCUCGUCUGAUCUCGGAAGCUAAGCAGGGUCGGGCCUGGUUAGGAUCUUGGACGGGAGACCACCUGGGAAUCCCGGGU